CCCGCUGAACUUAAGCAUAUCAAUAAGCGGAGGAAAAGAAACCAACCGGGAUUACCUCAGUAACGGCGAGUGAAGCGGUAACAGCUCAAAUUUGAAAUCUGGCCUCGGCCCGAGUUGUAAUUUGUAGAAGAUGCUUCGGGUGUGGCUCCGGUCUAAGUUCCUUGGAACAGGACGUCAUAGAGGGUGAGAAUCCCGUAUGUGACUGGGUGCCUCCGCCUGUGUGAAGCUCUUUCGACGAGUCGAGUUGUUUGGGAAUGCAGCUCAAAAUGGGUGGUAUAUUUCAUCUAAAGCUAAAUAUUGGCCAGAGACCGAUAGCGCACAAGUAGAGUGAUCGAAAGAUGAAAAGCACUUUGGAAAGAGAGUUAAACAGUACGUGAAAUUGUUGAAAGGGAAGCGUUUGCAACCAGACUUGCGCGCUGCCGAUCAUCCGGUGUUCUCACCGGUGCACUCGGUUGCGUUCAGGCCAGCAUCGGUUUGGGUGGCUGGAUAAAGGCCUUGGGAAUGUAGCUUCUUUCGGGGAGUGUUAUAGCCCUGGGUGCAAUGCAGCCUACCUGGACCGAGGACCGCGCUUCGGCUAGGAUGCUGGCGUAAUGGUUGUAAACGACCCGUCUUGAAACACGG
rnacentral:rRNA from 1 species